UUUCUUCUUCGUCAGCAUUCAAGAGUGAAUAGCACGCUUUUUUCUUUAAUUUUAUUUUGGCUAAUUUCUGGUUUUAUCUUAAGUGAUUUGGUUGAAUAAUUAUGGUAAUCUAAUACACAACAUAUUUGUUAACAGUUACACUCUGGUUUACUGCAGUAUGGAUGGGAUAUACUUGUAAAUUUCGAUGUUUUCCUGUACACGGCGUUGGACUGUAAACUUCGUUAAAUAAUUCAGAAUGGCGGUUUACAUCCAGAUUUUGGGUCAUUCUUUUGUGACAUUUCCAUUUAAAACUAUCGUCGUCGUCAUUGGUCAAAUAUUCUUGUUAUCCUGGAGCUAACGUCGAAACACUACGGAAUAAUUUGUCGGACAUUGAUAAUUUUUCUACGGACGUUAUGGUUCUCAUGAUUAGAACAAACGAUUUCUCUUGAACAGAGGCGGACCUCAACACUCUUACUUCAUGAAUUGUGGAUCUUGCGGACAGAUGGAACGCCAAAAACGCUCUGCUACCACGAGACAGAUACUCAUUUAUAGUACCAGACGGUACACCAGCAUGUUGUGCCUAAAACAAACAACGAGGUAUCGUCGACAGUUUACGAAGAUACGUCAAUUUCAGACUAUUUAAACAGUGAGGAGGAACAAGACAAUUUAGUUCAUGUCGUAAAUUCACAUGUAAAUCAGCUUGCAGGAAAUAUGCUUGGUAGCCAUACAUACUUCGUCGAACCGGCUUCCACCCCAAGGACGCUCUCAAUUUCGCAGUCCCUAAAUAACAAAACAAAUUCAGAACAACAAGUUCAUCGACUUUGCAUUACUGUUACCAAACAUGGCUUUAACCCAUGCAGAAAACCAAAACAACAUGCACGCCCUUUCCCUAAUAAUUCUUUUUAAGGAAACAUCUUCCGUAGACCCACUAGUUCCUUAACAAUAUCUGCUGGUCAUACAACAGGCGAUGUUUAUGCCGAGAGCCACGAUGCCCUCGGCCCCGUUUUGGGGUUCUGCAGAGGAUCAUAUCACUCUGGCCAUUGUGCCUUCACUUGUAAGAAUACGCCUUUUCCACCCACAUUUAACAAUUUGUUAACACCACAACCACACCCAACAUUACUCGUAAUCAAAAAUAGUGGCAUAGUUGGCAAACCUACGAUUUCCAUACGGGUAAAUGUUUUGUCAAGAUACUUAAGGGGAUCAUCAGGUCACGACUACUUAAUACUAGGUUUCACCAUAGGUUUUCAUCUUGGUUACACUGGUCCUCAUCGCAAUUCUUCAUGCUCCAACCUCUAAUCUUAUUCUGAAUACCCGAAUAUUUUCCAACGAAAACUACUAACAGAUUUAUAAAUGUGCUAAUUUCAUAAAAGGUCCUUUUUCGGAAAGACCUUUUCGUACCCUUCACGAUAGUACUUCACCGUUCAAAACACAUAAUCUGUGCCCAUUACGGGCCUUACAGAUAUAUUUAAACACAAUCUGAACUUGGAAGGGUCCUUUAUUACGAUUUCGCUGCGGCCAUCCAGUUCCUUCAACUUUCAUCCGACGCAUUCUCAAACUCUGUGUAGAAGACUGUCGGCCCCAUUACGUUCACAACACACUCAUUCCGUAUUAGAAGGACAACUUUGGCCCAUGGCAUGCAAUUCUCCAAUACACAAAUUUCACGCUUCGGCAGUUGGUCGUCACAGGCUCACACAAACUACAUACGUCAAAACAUCACAAACUAUCCUGUAUAACAGCUAUAUAGUCAAGUGUGAUUUUCAGAGCUCACAUUCUGUCUUGACGGGUAUAUUCAGCAACCAUUUCCAGUGGUAUUUAAAGGCUUACCACCAAUUUGAGUUUCUUUCUUCACUGUCUGUCUGGGGUAGCAAAGCGUUACAUAUAUUACAAGUGUUCGUUUUUAGUUUAUCAUGGUUGUCACAGUGAAAGAAUUUAGCACGGCUAGAUCUAUAUGAUAAUAUAAAUACGUCGAAUGAACAGUCUGACUGAGGCAGCAAGCUUGAUGUUUAAGUCUGUUUUUGUUGUUGUUUUUAUAAAUUACUCGACUGACUGAGGCGGCGAGCUUAGAACAUAUUCAAAGUGUCAAUUUUAGAUAUUAUAUUGUUUACAAAGUGUCAUUUUAGCUCGACUGAUUGAGGCGGCAAGCUUUAUCGACUUUUCCCAUUGCUCGACGAGGAGUGCAUCGAUUUAUAAACACAAACAGUCAGUACUGCUCGAUUGUCUGAGGCGACAAGCUUACUUUCUUCAUUUUUAUUUGCUCGACUGACUGAAGCAGCGAGCUAGAAUUUUUUCUUAUUACUUGACUGACUUAGGCAGCAAGCUGAAUGUUUUAGUUUUAUAUUACUCGACUGUCUGAGACGGGAGCUUAAAGCAUAUUCCAAGUGUCAAUUUUAAGCAGCAACUUUCAAUGUUCUAUUGUUUGCAAAGUGUCUUUAUAGCUCGAGUGGCUUAGGCUACGAAAUUUAUAGUCAUUUAUCAUUGCUUGACGAGCUCGAGCUUAAGAAACAUUAGUGGCGUCUCAUUUUAUAAGCAGAGACAGUCAGUAGCAACGGUUUUCCUUUUAAUACUGAACUUGUUCUUUGUUAAACUUGGCUUGUCUAGUGUUAGUCAUUUGAACGAAAUGGUUCUUCCUUUUUGUUUCUAUACGAUUCUUGCUAUUGUUUUGUACAAAAUUUAUAGACACACCAUAGUCAAUUACUAAUGUGUUUUAUAUUUUUCUGACCAUCCUAUAAUAUUAUUUUUCGGAAUGAAAUAUCUGUCUUAGACGGCAAUCAUUUGCAAUUCACCUUAUAAUCUUCUUAAACUUGUUUACACACCCACAUCAUACUUGUUACAUGGAUAUUUACCAUGACACUCAAGCAUCUGUCUCUGUGUCUCUGGGCGGCAUCCCAGGUCACUUGUUCCCUGGUCUUUCGUGGCGGUAUUUUUCGCCCAGAUAUGUGAAAAUAUAUAUUUGUUAAGGUAUUGUUCGGCAAAAUAAAUAUUGCCCUUUUUCAGUCAACACUUAGUUCACUCUUAUAUUUUCCCAUACAUAGUCCUCAGGGUCAGUGCUUCGUUGUAAACAGAUGCACAUAAAUGAAUUUUAUAGGUAGAUAAAAUUAUUUAUGUCAUUGUUGUACAUUUGGAGCGAAUCUGGCCUAUUCUGAAUUAUGUUAAUUUAUAUACUACGGUAAAAGCCAAUCAAUGAAUUCCUUUUAUCACGUGAUACCGUUGAACCAAUCGAGAAACGGCAUCUUUCUUCUUCGUCAGCAUUCAAGAGUGAAUAGCACGCUUUUUUCUUUAAUUUUAUUUUGGCUAAUUUCUGGUUUUAUCUUACCACCACCUCCCAUUCCACCUCCUCUUUCAAGUGACAGUUUUCUAAUUUUGAAAGAUUUCUCUUAAUAUGCAAAUUCAUCUACAUUUCUUGAUAUGCUUUCGGCGGUUUUAUCCGCCCUAACAUGUGAAUAUAUAUAUUUGUUAUGGUACUGGGCUGUAACUCCAUUCAGAUAUGAGAACAUAUCUAUUUGCUAAGGGCGGUAUGUUUCGCCCAGAUAUGUGAAAAUAUAAAUUUGUUAAGGUAUUUUUCGGCGGUAUUUUCCGCCCAGGUAUGUGAAAAUAUAUAUUUGUUAAUGUAUUGUUUAGCAAAGGCGGUAUUUUUCGGCCAGAUAUGUGAAAAUAUAUAUUUGUUAAGUAUUUUUCGCCCAGAUAUGUGAAAAUAUGUAUUUGUUAAGGUACGGGGCGGUAUUUUUCGCCCAGAUAUGUGAAAAUAUAUAUUUGUUAAGGUAUUGUUCGGCAAAAUAAAUAUUGCCCUUUUUCAGUCAA